AUAUGUCCAAAGUCUAUCAAUUGUUAUCUCUAUUCAUAUUUUCAAAAUUAUAAUUUGAAUCUAUCAAACAAAUCCCUAAUUACUAUUUUAAAAAUUAAAAAAACAGUUUUACAAAACAAAACUAAAUAGACCUAAAUUCUAUUAUAAUUUAGUUUUAGAAAAAUAAAAGAACAAAGAAUAAAGGCAUCAUAAAAAAUAUUUGAA
rnacentral:lncRNA from 1 species